UUCACAUUUUUCUGAUGAGAACAUAGGCUUAGAGCGUUCAGUAAGUUGCCCAAGUUUGAACUGUAGGAAGUUCUAUAUAGAGAUAUAAUAAAAUAUUGGGAACAGAGGAGGGUUUGAGAAAAGCUUUUUACAAGGGUUUGCAUUUGAGUUACAGCAUGACUUUCCAAAGUGGAAAAAAAAGACCAUUCUCGGCUGAGGGAACUGCAUUAAUGAGAGUGUCUGGGAACAUGAGAGGGGAACUACAAGAAGCCCCUAGUGGCUGGACUCUAGGGUCUUUGGAGCAAGCACUAAAGUGGUGAGGAGAAAGGACCAGUUCAGUGAUGGUAAGAAGGUAGCCGAGGAGAGAAAACUCUAGGUCUGGGAGUAGAUCCUAGCUGAGUGGAAAGGAAUAAGAGCCCCUCAGAUCUUCAGUUAUCUAAGAAAGGGAAAGAGGAGCUUCCUUGCUUUUGGAAAAAGGAACCACUGCCAAUCUCACUGACAAAGGCCACUCCCUAAUUAGGAUAUGUUCAUAUAUGGCCUUUGUUAUUUUCACCUAGGAUCACAGAAUAUUGAAGAUGGAAGAGACUCCAAGAUCAUCUAAUUCAGAGGUUAGGAAACUGAGAUCAGAAAACUUACCAAGGUCACACAGCUAUUAAGUGGCAGAGCCAGUAUUCCAAUACAAGCAAUUUGCCUAAAGUAGACUGAUUACAUUAAUGGCCUUAAUUGUUCACACCUCUCUGUAUCCACAUCCUCUGCCAUGUGACUUUGCAGUUCCUCUCAUUAAAAGUAGAAUCGAUUAUCCCCUCUCUUGAUUCUGAGUUCCACUAUAUAAGUCGCUUUGGCCAACAAAUUAUUAGCAGAUAGGACACAUGCGGAAACUUGAAAAUGACUUGCUCCUCUGCAAUAACCACGAGAACAUGCCUGGGUUAGCCUGAUGGACACAAGAAACAGAGCCAAUUUGCUCUAGUCAUCUCAGCAGAAGUCAUCCUGGUUCAGCCUAACCCAAGACAAAUGAGUGAGCCCAGCCAAGUUCACAAGACCGACCUAGCCAGCCAGCAACUGACUGCAGAUACACAAG
rnacentral:lncRNA from 1 species